rnacentral:rRNA from 1 species
AUGCCUGGGAGGUCGACCAUGGAAGCCAUUUUCUUGGUACGACAACUUAUGGAGAGAUAUAGGGAGCAUAAGAAGGACUUGCAUAUGGUGUUCAUUGACUUGGAGAAGGCCUAUGAUAAGAUACCGCAGAAUGUCAUGUGGGCCUUGGAGAAACACAAAGUCCCAGCAAAGUACAUUACCCUCAUCAAGGACAUGUACAAUAAUGUUGUGACAAGUGUUCGAACAAGUGAUGUCGACACCGAUGACUUCCCGAUUAAGAUAGGACUGCAUCAGGGGUCAGCUUUGAGCCCUUAUCUUUUUGCAUUGGUGAUGGAUGAGGUCACAAGGGGUAUACAAGGAGAUAUCCCAUGGUGUAUGCUCUUUGCGGAUGAUGUGGUGCUAGUUGACGAUAGUUGGACGGGGGUAAAUAGGAAGUUAGAGUUAUGGAGACAAACCUUGGAAUCGAAAGGGUUUAGGCUUAGUAGAACUAAAACCAAGUACAUGAUGUGCGGUUUCAGUACUACUAGCUGUGAGGAGGAGGAGGAGGUUAGCCUUGAUGGCCAGGUGGUACCUCGGAAGGACACCUUUCGGUAUUUGGGGUCAAUGUUGUAG